rnacentral:lncRNA from 1 species
AUGUUUUCCUGGAUGGUGUUGAUGCUAGUAGAUGUUCUUCAGUGUCUGGACAUUAAAAUCUUGGGCAUGCAGCACCAUAUGAGAGGUUUAAAAAAUAAAAUUAAAAAAGAGAAAAGAACCCAGAGUUGAUCUCUGCAGCAUGCCAUCACUGCUGGGGAUGAGGAAACGGUGAUUUCAGGACUGUUUUUUCUGUCUCUUCAGUGCCUCUUUCAGUGAUCUCAGGUUAAAACCAGGUACUUUGAGUACUCAUCUGAUCUUUGGUUCCUAUGAAUGUAUUUUCUAUGUGGAUAUUAAUAGUUGUUCAUCUGGUGUCCUUGCAGGAGGGACAAUCAGUGGAGCCUUCUUUCUGCCAUCUUGCUUUACUCUCACACCCAAGAAUCAGAAUUCAGAACUUUUAAUAAGAAAAGCUUUCAGAACUCAGGAAGGACAAGGAAGACAUUCUGGUUCUCCAUGCUUAACAUUGGACUCUUUCUUCAACUUAGACUAUGGAGGAUUCAUCACCAGACCAGGAAGCAACAGCCUGGGCUCCAGAGUUGGCCAGCAGUCCAUGCACAGACGAGGAGAGGUCCCAUGAACCUUCAGCGUGGUCU